GUCGCUGUGAGGCGGGUCUGAAGGAAGCCCAAGGCAAACCUGCGAUGCUUCGGCUUCGCUCAGAACAGGCUCUGAGGCGCAUAAACCCCAUAAAGAGGCUGUGAGGUCGAGCAAGUUGACCAAAAACAACGAAGCCCGAUGCGGACAAGGGGCGAAGCAAUUAUGCAGUCAGAUGCGCAGGGAAAGUCAACGUA
rfam:Chloroflexi bacterium RBG_16_48_8 RBG_16_scaffold_17004, whole genome shotgun sequence.